rnacentral:rRNA from 1 species
UACGUAGGAGGCGAGCGUUGUCCGGAGUUACUGGGCGUAAAGGGUGCGUAGGCGGUUUUUUAAGUUUGAUGUGAAAUCCCGGGGCUCAACCUGGGAAUUGCAUUCGAGACUGAAUAGCUAGGAUGCAGUAGAGGGAAGCGGAAUUUCCGGUGUAGCGGUGAAAUGCGUAGAUAUCGGAAGGAACAUCAGUGGCGAAAGCGGCUUCCUGGACCAGCACCGACGUCAGGCACGAAAGCGUGGGAAGCAAACAGG